CCCCUUCUGACGGAGAAGUCAAGUAUUUCUUCGUAUUCGACAUUCACAUCGGUGUUCACCUUCGUGAAUAUUCCCACCACCUUAUCAGUGCAUCAGAUAAUAUUGCUAUCUCCAUAGCGGAUAAAAUAAUUGCAUUACUUAAGGCUGACACAUAGGUCAUUAAAGUGACAAUCAUAGGCUCCACCCAUCAUGCCGAUUCAUGACACGCACGUCAUGUUAAUUUACAUUACAUAGUCAUCUCAUACAUAAUCAAUUUGAAUAUGAGCAUUGAUAUACCACAUCUCAUGCACAUCCUGCAAAACCAAGUUAGACGCCAAUAAUCGGUUAAUGCAAAAUUUUAUUUUUACAUGGCUUCUAAGGUUUUGACUUAAACCGUAGCUACCAACAUUCAUCAUCAGGUAAGAUAAUUCAAGUUGCUAGAUUAACUUUCCGGGGUGUAUGAAACACGAGAUAAUAAAAUCUCGAGCCCCAUACUAAACUUCGUCAUACGCAUGACCCCCGUGCAGAUCAUAUCUGCAUUGCCCAUUCGUCUACGAAACAUCCAUCUUUCUCAACUAUGGCAGAACCCAAAGACACUGAAGCACUUCAUUGAUUUGUCAAUCAACAUACUCAGCAGCAGCAUGAAAGAAUCACGGAUUGCCAGAACUUUGUGAGAUUCCACCAUGUCGUCAAGAUCGGGACUAUGCAAAUUCAAGGGAAGCAACAAGAACAUCGGGUAACAGAUUUCAUAUGCUACCCGCAUAAAUAAUUUUAAGCAAUAGAUCUCAUCUACUACAAAAUUAUACUAUGCAAUCCCCAUACAUCUCAAUGUAUUCUAGAUCGUAACCUGCAUCUACGCAUAACCUAGCACAUGAUGCCACUGUUAGGGAACGCGACAAAAAAAAUUAGGUACUGCGAGCACGUCCAGGAUCACUAAUGAGAUGCAUACAAGGUUAGAUAUGAUUAUUACCGACUCGUAGCACACCGGAAGUAGAGUCGAUGAAGAUCGAUGGUGCAGAUCCCCGUAGUUAGGAUUUACAACCUCCCAGCUGCGGGGAUGUACUCCAUUUUCUGCCCCACGGACAGCCCUCUGGGAGGCGGUCGGACAGUCCCUCGGACGGUCUCUCGGACAGCCAUUCGGGAGGACCAUCUAAAAUCGAUUGGUCACUCGGACAGCCCUUCGGGAGGACCCUUGAAACUCGGACAGUCACUCGGACAACCCUUCGGGAGGCACUCUCGAACUAAGACCGAAACUACGAUCUCUCUAUAGAGUCACACUCAUACAGUGUCAUCUAUUCGGCAGGGCUUCGCCGUCCAGAACUAAUUCCCACCGGAACCCAGACAACCUUUCGGCUGUAUAAAAUUAUUUUGUUGGGAGGGAGAGAGAAGCCAGAUCAUGCAUGGCAUUUGUAUG
rnacentral:lncRNA from 1 species